GGUUCCAGUGCCCUCAGCCUUAAGGAAGUGACCCUAUCAAUAUUGCCUCUGCUUUUGUGCUCGGAGUAGUAGUGCAAUAUUGCUUAUAGGGUCUUUUCCUUGAGACACCUUCUUUUUCCAACAA
rnacentral:pre_miRNA from 14 species